UGCCGAGGUGAAUUGACUCUCCCCAAGACUUUCGGCGGAUACAGACGAGAGCUGGGAUCUGAGCCUUGUCUGUCCGCUUGGGGCCGCUGUGCCCUGGGAGCCUCUCCUUCCGGCCACCUCUUGCUCCCUCCCACCACCGUUGGAUCUCAGGCCCUCCUGGCCACACAGCGGGGGUCCAGGAAGUAUUUGUAGGAUGGCUGGAUGGCCUGGGAGAAAACCCAGCCUGGGUCAGAGUCUUCUCAGCCAAAGUCCUUCCCUGGCCAGGGGAGAUGCCCCCUCUUCAGGCCACCCCAGUGCGAUGGCCCUCCGACAUCCGCCAGUGUCCACGCAGCCACCGAGGGAGGCCUGGCUGCCUGAAGGCCUGCUCCCCCGUCCUCCACCAUGUCCAGCCCAGCAAGUUUUUAACAUAUCGAAGCAACCGUGUAUACGUCAUGAAGCAGAAGGAGGACGUGGUGUACAGACGGAAGCUAAAACCUGAGGCUGAAGACCCUUCAAGACAAUGGACAUCUGGCCUGGGUUCUCCAAAGGAUCUAGGACCAUGAGGAACAAAGUAGGGGAGACAUCGCAGCCCGAUGCCAUACGCCAUGUUUGACCGGAUCCUGGACUGGGAAAAAAUAGAAGCCACAAAGAACGUUUGGGAGGCCACCAGGGAAACGUGAUGUUAGGUGUUAGGUGUUCGUGUUGUUCGUGUUAGGUGAUGUUGCCCA
rnacentral:lncRNA from 1 species